AAGAAGCUAGUUUAAAAAAAACAUUUAACUGUCAAAUAAAAAAUACAUUUUAUGUGCAUCUUG
rnacentral:tRNA from 1 species